GUUUAAAGCUUUCAACUAACAUUGAUUAUCAGCUGUUUUGUACGGAAAACGUGGAAUUUAAAAUAUUUACUGUUUCACCGCUAUUGGCAAUACAUUUUGGUCAUGUCAUCUGCAACAGACGAUCAUACAUUUAUGACGGAUUAUCGAUAUAGAUAACGCUAGGACCAUGUAGCAAUAGCAGUGGAAGCCCGUAUUUGCAAGCCAGUUGAGGGAAGGACAGAAUUCUGAAAAGGAGCAUGUUUUUCAUUUCCACACGUACAUGAGUAUCACUAUGGACAUCUAAUGUAUGUAUAAAUAUGCGUAUGGUUGUUGUUUAUAAUUGCUAUUGUAUAUAAAAAAAAGUAAAAGGCAAUUUCACUACUAAUAUUUUGUUUUUAAUAGGUAAAUACAUACAAUGCGUUCAUCAAAAAUAUAACUUUUCAUCUUCAAAUAUUAUCAUAAGCACUACACAUCUUAUAUAUACACAUGUACAUAUUUAGCAUAGACUUGUUCCUUUUUUUAAUUUUUCUUCGUGAAUUUUAUUAAUUAAAAAAUGGUCCCAAGAUAUUUGAGACCAUGUAAAAUAAAGAAAGACAACUCUUAAACAGGAUCUUUCAGGCCAAGAUUUUUGCAAUAAUUCAGUAUUUUCUUUAAUUUUUCAAUUUCAUUCAAUUUCUUUUUUUCAUCCUAUUAACCAAUGAAUAUUGUUUUUAUUUUCAGAUUUUUGUGGGAUUUUGUCCAGCAGUUUGCCUUAGAAGAAUUUUUUUUAUAUUUAAGUUUCAUAUUUAUGUGGAUUCCAAUAAAAAUCAUACAAACUUC
rnacentral:sRNA from 1 species